rnacentral:rRNA from 1 species
UUUUUGAGAUAAUAUUAAGUCUAAUCUGCCCACUGAUAAAUUAUUAAAGGGCUGCAGUAUAUUGACUGUACAAAGGUAGCAUAAUCAUUUGUUUUUUAAUUGAAAACUUGUAUGAAAGAUUGAAUGAAAUAAUGACUGUCUCUUUAUAAUGAUUAGAAAUUAAUUUUUUAGUAAAAAAGCUAAAAUAAAUUUAAAAGACGAGAAGACCCUAUAGAGUUUAAUAAUUUAUUUUAUAUUAAUAAAAUGUAAAUUUUUAAAUUAAAAUUAAUUUAAUUAUUUUAUUGGGGCGAUAAAAAAAUUAAAUUAACUUUUUUUGAAAAAUUUAUAUUACAUUAAUAAAUGAAACAUUGAUCCAUUUAUAGUGAUUAUAAGAAUAAAUUACCUUAGGGAUAACAGCGUAAUUUUUUUUUUUAGUUCAAAUAAAAAAAAAAGUUUGCGACCUCGAUGUUGGAUUAAGAUAAAAUUUAAAUGCAAAAGUUUAAGGUUUU